GGACGCGCAGGAUAACCCCUCGAUUCUCCACGACGAAGUGGUUAAUCGAGGAUGGACGGGUUUAACUCCCGUCGCGUCCGCCA
rnacentral:tRNA from 1 species